rnacentral:rRNA from 1 species
GAUGAACGCUAGCGACAGGCUUAACACAUGCAAGUCGAGGGGCAGCAUGAUUUGUAGCAAUACAGAUUGAUGGCGACCGGCGAACGGGUGAGUAACGCGUGAGGAACCUGCCUCAAAGAGGGGGACAACAGUUGGAAACGACUGCUAAUACCGCAUAAGCCCACAGCUCGGCAUCGAGCAGAGGGAAAAGGAGCAAUCCGCUUUGAGAUGGCCUCGCGUCCGAUUAGCUAGUUGGUGAGGUAAUGGCCCACCAAGGCGACGAUCGGUAGCCGGACUGAGAGGUUGAACGGCCACAUUGGGACUGAGACACGGCCCAGACUCCUACGGGAGGCAGCAGUGGGGAAUAUUGCACAAUGGGGGAAACCCUGAUGCAGCGACGCCGCGUGUGUGAUGACGCCCUUCGGGGUGUAAAACACUGUCAGUAGGGACGAAUUUUGACGGUACCUACAGAGGAAGCACCGGCUAACUCCGUGCCAGCAGCCG